rnacentral:rRNA from 1 species
GCCCAGACUCCUACGGGAGGCAGCAGUGGGGAAUAUUGGACAAUGGGGGGAACCCUGAUCCAGCGACGCCGCGUGAGUGAAGAAGUAUUUCGGUAUGUAAAGCUCUAUCAGCAGGGAAGAAAACAGACGGUACCUGACUAAGAAGCCCCGGCUAACUACGUGCCGGCAGCCGCGGUAAUACGUAGGGGGCAAGCGUUAUCCGGAUUUACUGGGUGUAAAGGGGGCGCAGACGGCCAUGGCAAGCCCGGUGUGAAAGGCAGGGGCAUAACCCCUGGACUGCACUGGGAACUGUCAGGCUGGAGUGCCGGAGGGGUAAGCGGAAUUCCUGGUGUAGCGGUGAAAUGCGUAGAUAUCAGGAGGAACACCGGCGGCGAAGGCGGCUUACUGGACGGCAACUGACGUUGAGGCCCGAAAGCGUGAGGAGCGAACAGGAUUAGAUACCCGAGUAA